rnacentral:rRNA from 1 species
AGAACGAACGCUGGCGGCAGGCUUAACACAUGCAAGUCGAACGCUCGUAGCAAUACGGGAGUGGCAGACGGGUGAGUAACGCGUGGGAACAUACCCUCCGGUUCGGAAUAGCUCAGGGAAACUUGGAUUAAUACCGGAUACGGCUGAGAGGCGAAAGAUUUAUCGCCGGAGGAUUGGCCCGCGUUCGAUUAGCUAGUUGGUGAAGUAACGGCUCACCAAGGCGAUGAUCGAUAGCUGGUCUGAGAGGAUGAUCAGCCACAUUGGGACUGAGACACGGCCCAAGCUCCUACGGGAGGCAGCAGUGGGGAAUAUUGGACAAUGGGCGCAAGCCUGAUCCAGCCAUGCCGCGUGAGUGAUGACGCCUUAGGGUGUAAGCUCUUCGCUCGGGACGAUAUGACGGUACCGAGAUAAGAAGCCCGGCUAACUUCGUGCCAGCAGCCGC